rnacentral:rRNA from 1 species
AUUGAACGCUGGCGGAAUGCUUUACACAUGCAAGUCGAACGGCAGCACGGACUUCGGUCUGGUGGCGAGUGGCGAACGGGUGAGUAAUGUAUCGGAACGUGCCCAGUCGUGGGGGAUAACGUAGUGAAAAUUACGCUAAUACCGCAUACGAUCUAUGGAUGAAAGCGGGGGAUCGCAAGACCUCGCGCGAUUGGAGCGGCCGAUAUAAGAUUAGGUAGUUGGCGGGGUAAAGGCCCACCAAGCCAACGAUCUGUAGCUGGUCUGUGAGGACGACCAGCCACACUGGAACUGAGACACGGUCCAGACUCCUACGGGAGGCAGCAGUGGGGAAUUUUGGACAAUGGGCGAAAGCCUGAUCCAGCCAUUCCGCGUGCAGGAUGAAGGCCCUCGGGUUGUAAACUGCUUUUGUACAGAACGAAAAGGUUUCUACUAAUACUAGGAGCUCAUGACGGUACUGUAAGAAUAAGCACCGGCUAACUCCGUGCCAGCAGCCGCCGUAA